CAGAAGACUCCCUGGACCAACUGCCUCCUCCAUCUCCCCUGAUCACACCACCACAGCAGCCUCGUCUGGUGUCCCUGGCCCCCUGCAAUUCGAAUACAGCCACCUCCACAGUCCAUAACACCUCCUCAAGGCAUGUCCACCUCCUCCAAAACUACUGCAGCUUCCUCCAGAGCCAUUCCUGAACCUGUGACCAGAAACAAGCUACAUGGGGACAAUACCAGAAUAAAUGAUCGAGUGAUUCUGUUUCUUCACUGCAGAGCUGAGAUUGUUGUAUGCCCCAUAUACAGUAUAUAGCGUUCUGUUGGUGGCAAGACAUUUUCAUAAUAAUUGAAAUUGAAAAACUUGAAGUGUUGAAUGAAACGUGGUUUUGUUGAUCAGUUCAUACACCAUGUGCCAUGGAAUCGGUACAUCAAAAAAUAUCUCCCCAGUUAUUUUGUAACCUGUAUGGCGUAGCUGUGAACAUGUUUGUCCUCAAAUGAAACUUGUAUAUUUUUCUAUUUAUGACGAUCUUUUCCAGCCAAUUUUGGUAUUUAAUACAUGGCAGACAAACAAGUUCCCAACCUUGUCCCCCUUCCACUUGUCUCCUCCAUUUUUGCGGUAAUGCUGCAAUCAGUUGAUUUUGGAUUGAACAAACAUUCCCAUAUACAGUGCCCUCCGUAAUUAUUGGGACAGUGAAGCAUUUUUUCUUAUUUUGGCUCUAUACUUCAUAA